rnacentral:lncRNA from 1 species
AGAAACACAUGCUUGGAGAAGGAACCUGCCCAAGGUCACCCACCCUGAGAUAGAGGCAGAGUGGGAAGCUAAGUAUGCAGGCGCUUCCAUGCACCUCUUCUCAUCGUGGUCUGUCUGCCCGUAUUUUUAUUUCUUCAGGCUCAGAGCUCUCUAUCACCAUCAGAAAGAAGAGGAAGCUGCAGGCCCUUGUUGCCUGACUCUUGAGUCCAGCUCUCUCAAGAUUGCUGUCACAGCCCACAGCUGUGCAGAGCUUUGCAGUCUGUAGCUUGCAGGGGACUUUGUAUGUAAUAUCUCCAUUGAUUCACCUGGCCACAGUGGGAAGUGAAAAUUAUUGUUCCCCCAUUUCCAGGUGAGAAAGCCUCAAAACUAUGAUACAUCCAUUGAGUUACAAUGAGAUUCAAAGACACACAACUAAUAUGUAUCUGCUGGACCUUGCUAUUGUGCUGGGUUCUGUUAGAUGCAAAGAUAAAUAGGUUUUAGGUUCUUAGGAAUGUAAUGCAUAUAUUUUUUCAGCCCUUUAUAAAAGAUUCCAGGGUGUGGGGAUUCAGAGAAAUGUUGUGGGCCUCAGAGGCAGAAGUAAAGGGCAUUUCUAGAAGUUCUGGGGAAGCUUCUGGAGGAGGGAAUAUUUAAAUUGGGGUUGAGUCAGCCCAGGGGCACCCAUCUGUAAUCUCCUUAGCUCAAGAGGUUGAGACAGGAGGAUUGUGAGUUCAAAGCCAGCCUCAGCAGUGGUGAGGUGCUAAGCAACUCAGCGAGACCCUGUCUCUAAAUAAAAUUCAACAUAGGGCUGGGGAUGGUGCUCAGCGGUAGAGUGCCGCUGAAUUCAAUCCCGGUACCUCCCCCCAAAAAAUUUAGAUUGGGGUUGAAGGCCAUAGAUUUGAACAGGUGGGGAUGGAGAGAUGCCCCCCUGCCCCAUGUCCUUUCCCAGUAUUCUGGGCUUGCCCUUUUAUCACAACUCACCUACUAGACUUUAUGCACCUAAUAGUCAUUUAGCAUUUUUUAUUCAGUGCUAGGGACUGAGUUCAGGGUCUUGCACAUGCUAGGCACUUUUCCACUGAGCUCCAUCACCAGCCCAACACUCAACAUUUGAAUAAAUGAGUAGAAAAAUGAGUGUCUCAGAGGCAGGAUGGGGCCAUGUUAUGGGUGACCUUGGUGAUCAAGAGUCUCUCUUCCAGCUAAGUUGUGGAGGGCCACAAUGUGGGUAGAUGCCUUGUAUGAUUAGGAUGUAGCCAUGAGACAUAUUUUUCUCUUGUUGCAAUGGUCUUGGCAUUCUUUUUAUUUAUUUAUUUUAUUUUUGUUUUCGGCGGAUACAACAUCUUUGUUUGUAUGUGGUGCUGAGGAUCGAACCCGGGCUGCACACAUGCCAGGCGAGCGCGCUACCUCUUGAGCCACAUCCCCAGCCCGCAAUGGUCUUGGCAUUCUGCAUUGAGUGCUUAGUCCUGGACUUUGGGGGAAGGGGAUGAUGCAUAGGAGCCCUUAAUUGGUGAGUUUUUUUUUUUUUGUUGUUGUUGUUUUUUAAUUUUAGUACUGAAGUUUGAACCCAAGGGCGUUUUACCACUAAACUACAUCCCCAGCCCUUUUAACAUUUUUUUUUUUUUUUGAGACAGAUUCUCACUCAGUUGUUUUGGAUCUCACUAAAUCACUAAUUUGAGGCUGGCCUCCAAUUUACAAUUCUCCUGUCUUAGCUUCCUGGGUUGCUGAGAUUACCACUGCACCUAGCCAAUUGGUGGGAUCUUUAGAAAUUGUGCAGCCUGGGAGCUAGAAUCACAAUCCUUUGACCAAACUGCUUGGCUAGAUUUUUUUUUUUUCUUCUUGCAGUGUUGCUGAUUGAACCCAGGGCUUCCCCAUGUCAUGCAAGGCACUCUGCCACAGAGCUACAUCCUUAGUCCCUUGGCUAGAUUUUUGAAAUAUUCUCAAAGGGUACUGGGUACAAGAGACAUUUGUUACCUCCAAGUUCUUAUUAGGCUUAAAGGACACCUUUAUGCUCUGGUCUUACUCAGGUCCAUGCCUCUGUGGGCAGGUUAAGACAGGUAGAAUCCCUGAGGAUAGCUGUGGUGGUUUCCAUUUUGUAGGUGAGAGCCAAGACCUGCAAGAAGCUCAGUGGAAGCCAGGUGUGGUGGGAACGCCUGUAAUCCUAGCAGCUAGGGAGGCUGAGGCAAGAGUCUCCAAGUUGGAGGCCAGCCUCAGCAAUUUAGCAAGGCCCAAGCAACUUAGUGAGACCUUGUCUCAAAAUAAAAUAUAAAAAGGGCUGGGGAUGUGGACUUGUGGUAAAACUCCUCUGGGUUCCGUCACCUAUACCUAAAUAAAUAAAGAAGAAAGAAAAAGAAACAGGUGAGUGGGUGCCAAACCUCACCCUAGGGAGACGCAGAACUGGGGUCCAUGCCUCCAUAGCAGCCCCUUUCUUGGCCUCAUACUGCCCUCUAGGAAGCCCUCAAGGGCAACCUUAGCCUGUCUGGGGAAACAGAGUCCCUGAGCUGCAUUUUCCAUGGCGGGUUGUUCAGAGGGGAGAGACGGCCAGCCCCAUUACUGGCCUGAUGGCCUCUGCCUUUCCAAAGCAGCCAUCCAUCCUGCCUGGUUGGGUCCAGCCCAGCAGCUUCCGGGACAACUCUUGGGCAUCCGGCCAGCCUGCUCAGCACCUUCUCUCCCUGUCUCUGUCUCGAGCAAUCUGUCUUCCUGUCUGUCCCUCUGUCAGAUCUCUCUCUCUCUCUGUCUCCACCACUGUGUGCCUGUUUCUCCUUCCUAAUCUUUCUUCUGUACCAACAAUAACCUUUGGGCCUCCAGUCCCUCAGGAGUCCCGUUACCCCUGCUCUGACUGGUGCCUCUUUUUUUUUUUUUUUCUUUUUCUUUUUUGUACCAAGGAUUAAACCCAGGGGCACUUAACCCCUGAGCCACAUCCCCAGCCCUUUUUAUUUUUUAUUUAGAGACAGGGUCUCACUGAGUUGCUUAGGGCCUUGCUAAAUGGAUGAGGCUGGCUUUGAACUCAGGAUCCUCCUUUGAACUCAUGAUCCUUCAGCCUCCCCAGCCUAGUGCCUCUUCUCAACUGGCAGCGUGAGCCAGUGGGAAGAUUAUAAAGGAGGGGAAUACCACAGUGGAACUCUAGUCUGGUCAAGUCCUUGGCUUCCUCCUCUCUCGGCUUUCUCGUCCUUCCUGAGGCAACCAACCCCAGAGGCCCAAAUUGUCUCCAGAGGAGGAAGGUGUUGCUCAGAGGUCCGAGUUAAAGAGCAGGACAUGUGGUGGCAGGGCCUUUAUCAACGGAAGACUUGAGGGGUGGACAGGUCCAGGCCACAUGCUUCCCUACCAGCCCUGCUGGUCCUGGCAGACGCCCGUCCUCAGGCUCAGAUCUGCAGCUCUGUGAUCUGUCCCUUUUCCCAGAGCCCAGUCCUGGGGGCCCUGAAUUGCAGCUUUCCUAUUUCCCCAGGGCCUGCUUCGCCCUGGGGGACUCCACCUCCAACCACAGGGCCCAGCACCUUCCUCCAGAGCCUCUCAGGGUGAACCUCCUUAAACUUGAGCCUCAGCCCCUGUGUCACCGCCCCCAACUUUCCAAGGCUUCUGUUCAUCUUGGAGGACCUCCCAGAAGGGACACUCCUGACCCUCUGGCACCCCCUGCUCUACUGUCCUCUGCCUGUUCUUGACUGACUCCAAGGCCUCCAAUCCAUAGCCACCUCCUCCUUCCCAACCUGGACUGGUGCUUGGCCAGUUACUCCUUUGAUCUGUUGGGCUCCUUGUCCCCUGUCCCAGCUGACCCCUGGCCUGCUGCAGGUGGUCUGACCUCAAACUUCUCAGCUCCCAGCCCAUACUGCAUAGAGCUACUGGAGAAAACCUCAGGGCUGGGCAGAGGGGCUGCUCAGCACAGGCCUCCAAGCCCAGCUGGUCCCUGAAUGGUCAGUCCUUCCACAGCUUGCUCCCCCACCCUCUCCGGAGGCUCCCGCAAACUGGCAGCCUGUUCUCCAGCCUCCCUCCUCCUCCUGUGACUCAGCAGGUCACUUCAGCUUCUACUACAGUGACACAGGUUCCCAGGAACCUUCCUAUCCACUCCCAAGACCCUCCCACUCACCUUCCAUCUCAGAGGGCCAUCCUCCAGUGCUUCUGGCCUCCCCCACCUCAAAAGAUACUCCCAUCCCCUCUACCCCCAGCCCCUAACCCUCUGGCCUUGGUCUCUCUAGGCUCCAGUAUUUAAGCCAUCCCAGGCCUCUUCUAGGGUAAUGAAACCACCAGCAAUAACAUCUCCCUUCUUCAUCUGACCCGUGAAGCACCUUGGAAAACAAGUCAUCUCCGAAUCUUAACCCUUCAUCUCUCUAUCCCUGCCAUUCUAAUCUAAGAUAAUUGGGCCCCAUCAAAAAGGCACUUGCCAGCUGGGUGUGGUGGUACAUGCCUUAUAAUCCCAGUGACUCAGGAGGCUGAAGAAGGAGGAUUGCAAGUCUGAGGCCAGCAUCAGCAACUUAACAAGGCCCUGAGCAACUUAGAGACCCUGUUUUUAAAUAAAGUAUAAAAAAGGGGUUGGGGAUAUAUGUAGGUCAGUGAUAAAGUGCCCCUGGGUUCAAUCCCCUGUACCCUCCCCCAAAAUGGCACUUGCCAAGGUCAACAGAGGUGCCCUAAGUCAUGAAAAGGCCUUCUCUUCUGUCCUUACAGACUUUUCUGGAGCCAUUUGUGUGGUCCCUGGGACACAUGGACCCCUGGUCCUCCCAUCGUAUCCUCCAGGUCUCCUUGUGAGUUUACCUUCCUUGGCCUGUCCCCAUUACUCAUCCCUUUCUCUUUCAGUCUUCCUGGGCCCCAGGCUUCACCUCCUACGGAGAACUCCAAUUUCUUUUCCCAGCUCCAGCCUGGGCAUCCCACUCGGGUACCUGUUCACACCCAGCAGUUUCCACUUGUCUUUCCCUAAACCUGGCCUAGUAAAGCAGAUGGGACCCUCCCCAUGCACCUGUUUUCAGAGAAGUCUCCUUCCUGUCCCAGCUGCCAUGUCUUCCAAACCCAACCCCCAACCAGGCUCCCCUAGGAGGAGCUAGCAAAGAUCCUCCAUUAAGGAAUUUCUUCCUCUGGUCUCAUCCCUGUCCCGUCCACCCUCUAUCCUGCUGCCAAGUGACUGUUCUAAAAUGCAAAGCUAAUGGGGCUGGGGAUGUGGCUCAAGU